GCCCCGUUGGUCUAGUGGGAGGACGUCCGGCUCUCAUCCGGAAGGUCGCCGGUUCGAGUCCGGCACGGGGUA
rnacentral:tRNA from 3 species